UACGUAGGGUGCGAGCGUUGUCCGGAAUUAUUGGGCGUAAAGAGCUUGUAGGCGGUCUGUCGCGUCUGCUGUGAAAAUCCGGGGCUCAACCCCGGACUUGCAGUGGGUACGGGCAGACUAGAGUGUGGUAGGGGAGACUGGAAUUCCUGGUGUAGCGGUGAAAUGCGCAGAUAUCAGGAGGAACACCGAUGGCGAAGGCAGGUCUCUGGGCCACUACUGACGCUGAGAGGCGAAAGCGUGGGUAGCAAACAGG
rnacentral:rRNA from 1 species